rnacentral:misc_RNA from 1 species
CACCUGUUUGCAUAAAGCAGACAUGAGCACAGUAGCGUGUGUAGGGCCUGCAGUCAGUACAAUGGCUGCAGCCGGAGUUGGACCAGGAAUGGGUGUAUGUGGUGACAGCACUUCCUCAGCACAAGGUGAAGAAUACACAGCUGUUCCAAACUCAGUUGUGAGGGUUAGAGUGCGGACACACUCAGUAAGCAGUGAUGAAAGUGAUAAUGUCUCCAGAGCUUAAGAGAACUUACUUAGUAUGAAUAUGUUUGACACUGUGAUGAAUUUCAUAAUUGUACUUUUAAGAAUGUGAUCAAUAUCACAUGUGUAUAAAAUGAAAUGUAUUUUA